rnacentral:lncRNA from 1 species
GCUCCAUUUUGUGUGCUGUCUUCCCCAUCAGAAUAUAAGGUCCUUAAGGUUCUUCAAUGUCAUGGAGUUCCCUGGAUCUCUGAACUUAGAUCCGCUGAGGUCAACGCUGGUAUCUCGAUAUUAAGGAUGGAGAAACUGAGCCAGAGUGAUAAAAAUGAUUUAGCCAAUAUCAACGUAGUGAUUAUUUGAAAACAGAGCCAGGAAUGGCUUCAUGUUGCUCUCUCCUGCUGACAUAUUCAUUGAAAAUGAUUUAGCAGGGCAUGGUUGGACUCAACCCUAGAGGAUCCUGCAAAAUUGACGGUCAGAUAAUUCUGGGCUUCUUCUUGUUCCAUCUUAUUAUCUUAUUGGCUACUUCUGGAGAUUGGCUGACAGAGAUAAUCUAUUCAAAAACCCAG